rnacentral:rRNA from 1 species
ACGCUGGCGGCAUGCCUAACACAUGCAAAGUCGAACGAGACCUUCGGGUCUAGUGGCGCACGGGUGCGUAACGCGUGGGAACCUGCCUUUAGGUUCGGAAUAACUCAGAGAAAUUUGAGCUAAUACCGGAUGAUGUCUUCGGACCAAAGAUUUAUCGCCUUUAGAUGGGCCCGCGUAAGAUUAGCUAGUUGGUGGGGUAAAGGCUCACCAAGGCGACGAUCCUUAGCUGGUCUGAGAGGAUGAUCAGCCACACUGGGACUGAGACACGGCCCAGACUCCUACGGGAGGCAGCAGUGGGGAAUAUUGGACAAUGGGCGAAAGCCUGAUCCAGCAAUGCCGCGUGAGUGAUGAAGGCCUUCGGGUUGUAAAGCUCUUUUACUCGGGACGAUAAUGACGGUACCGAGAGAAUAAGCCCCGGCUAACUCCGUG